rnacentral:rRNA from 1 species
GUGUCAGCAGCCGCGGUAAUACGUAGGGGGCGAGCGUUGUCCGGAUUUAUUGGGCGUAAAGGGCGUGUAGGCGGUCUGUUAAGUCUGGGGUGAAACUCCGCAGCUCAACUGCGGAACUGCCUCGGAUACUGGCGGACUUGAGUGCUCUAGAGGGCAGUGGAAUUCCCGGUGUAGCAGUGAAAUGCGUAGAGAUCGGGAGGAACACCAGUGGCGAAGGCGACUGCCUGGGGAGUAACUGACGCUGAGGCGCGAAAGCUGGGGGAGCAAACGGGAUUAGAUACCCCGGUAGUCCCAGCCGUAAACGAUGAGUGCUAGGUGUAGCGGGUAUCGACCCCCGCUGUGCCGCAGUUAACGCAAUAAGCACUCCGCCUGGGGAGUACGGCCGCAAGGUUGAA